CCUGAGGAUAUAACGAGCAAUUUGGAAAAAUAAAUUUGUCGGUUUUCUUAUACGGUUGCGAAGCCUUAGAGAUAACAAGAAAAACAGUGUUCGGGGAGAUAACUCUUACAAGGUAAAGUUUUUUGUUACGCGUGUCCAGUUUCAGAAGCAUAUUAACUGUUCGAUAUCAUAUACCAUAUAUCUAAGCGACAUCUUGUGAAACAAAAAAACAGCGAAGGAAAAAAAGUUGGCGGAAGAAAAAAAAAAAAUAAUAAUAAAAAACCAAUUGUUCAAAGAACAAUUGAAGGUCUUUCAACAAUAAAGGAUCUAUUUUGAUAUGAAAAUAUUAAAAUUCAGUUAAAAAUGUCAGUUCCUAUGGCUUUAUGAUGUUAUAAAUAUGAAUUUGAAAGCAAAGGUCAAAAUCUAGAACGUCCAAUUUACCUAUGACCUUGACCUCAAUUUCAAGGUCAUAGAACAUAGGACAUCUCAAAUCAAAAGACCCUAGUUCUGUUAAUAUGUAUUGUUCAUGAGUAAUAUCACUUUACGCAUAAUUCUAAAUAUAAGAGGGCGAAAACUCCCAUUUAUUGUCUACGCACCCUUGCAACCAAAAUUUAUAAGUUAACGACAUGUCGCAACUAACAAUUUAGUAAAAAUAAUUUGUCGAAUAUCUUAUAAGGUUAAUUGAAAAUAAGUGAAAAUAAGCCAAAAAUCAAAAUUUAGAAUUUGACCUUGACCUUUGACCUUGACCUACUUUUCAUUUUUUUGGACCAAGGAUCUAAAAUCAAAAGACCUUAGGUCUCUCUAUCACUUAUGGUUUACCAGUUAGAAAUGCAUAUCACCUAUAUCAUACACAAAAGGGGGGAUAACUCUCAUAUGGAGUCUCCGGAUAGCUUUGGUCAAAAUAAAUCAAGUCAUCCUGAGGAUAUAACGAGCAAUUUGGUAAAAUAAAUUUGUCGGUUUGUUAUUACGGUUGCGAACCUUAGAUAACAAGAAAAACAGUGUUCGGGGAGAUAACUCUUACAAGGUAAAGUUUUUUGUUACGCGGUUGUCAGUUUGAGAAGCGUAUUAAACUGUUCGAUAAUCAAUAUACCAUAUAUCUAAGCGACAUCUUUGAAACAAAAAACACGCGAAGGUAAAAAAAGUUGGCGGAGAGAAAAAAAAUAAUAAUAAUAAAAACCAAUUGUUCAAAGAACAAUUGAAGGUCUUUCAACUAAUAAAGAUCUAUUUUGAUAUGAAAAUAUUAAAAUUCAGUUAAAAAUGUCAGUUCCUAUGGCUUUAUGAUGUAUAAAUAUGAAUUUAAAGCAAAGGUCAAAAUCUAGAACGUCCAAUUAACCUUUGACCUUGACCUCAAUUUCAAGGUCAUAGACUUAACAUCUCGAAUCAAAAGACACUAGUUCCUUAAUAUGUAUGGUUCAUGAGUAAUAUCACUUUACGCAUAAUUCUAAAUAUAAGAGAGGCAAAAACUCCCAUUUAUUGUCUACGCACCCUUUCAAUCAAAAUUUAUGAGUUACGACAUGUCGCAACUAACAAUUUAGUAAAAAUAAUUUGUCGAAAUCUUAUAAAGUUAAUGAAAGUAAGUGAAAAUAAGCCAAAAUCAAAAUUUAAAAUUUGACCUUGACCUUUGACCUUGACCUAAUUUUCAUUUUUUUGGACCAAGGAUCUUAAAUCAAAAGACCCUAGGUCUCUAUCACUUAUGGUUUACCAGUUAGAAAUGCAAAUCACUUAUAUCAUAUAUAAAAGGGGGAUAACUCUCAUAUGGAGUCUCCGGAUAGCUUCGGUCAAAUGAAACAGAACAUCCUGAGGAUAUAACGAGCAAUUUGGAAAAAUAAAUUUGUCGGUUUCUUAUACGGUUGCGAAGCUUAGAGAUAACAAUAAAAACAGUGUUCGGGGGAGAUAACUCUUAUAUGGGAAAGUAUUCGGUUAAGCAGAGUUGGUUUCAAAAGCGUAUAAACUGUUCGAUAUCAUAUUUCAAAUAUCUAAACGACAUCUUGCGAAACAAAAAAACAGCAAAGGUAAAAAAAGUUGGCGGAAGAAAAAAAAAAAUAAUAAUAAUAAUAAUAAUAAUAAUAAUCAGAACAAAACCUAUAGGUCUUUCAACUGAAAGGUUGAAAGACCUAAUAAUCAGAACAAACCCUAUAGGUCUUUCA
rnacentral:lncRNA from 1 species